rnacentral:tRNA from 1 species
UAGCUCAGCUGGGAGAGCGCCACAAUGGCAUUGUGGAGGUCGUCGGUUCGAACCCGAUUGGGUCCACCC